rnacentral:rRNA from 1 species
UGCAGUCGAGCGAACAGAUAAGGAGCUUGCUCCUUUGACGUUAGCGGCGGACGGGUGAGUAACACGUGGGUAACCUACCUAUAAGACUGGAAUAACUCCGGGAAACCGGGGCUAAUGCCGGAUAACAUAUAGAACCGCAUGGUUCUAUAGUGAAAGAUGGUUUUGCUAUCACUUAUAGAUGGACCCGCGCCGUAUUAGCUAGUUGGUAAGGUAACGGCUUACCAAGGCGACGAUACGUAGCCGACCUGAGAGGGUGAUCGGCCACACUGGAACUGAGACACGGUCCAGACUCCUACGGGAGGCAGCAGUAGGGAAUCUUCCGCAAUGGGCGAAAGCCUGACGGAGCAACGCCGCGUGAGUGAUGAAGGGUUUCGGCUCGUAAAACUCUGUUAUUAGGGAAGAACAUAUGUGUAAGUAACUGUGCACAUCUUGACGGUACCUAAUCAGAAAGCCACGGCUAACUACGUGCCAGCAGCCGCGGUAAUACGUAGGUGGCAAGCGUUAUCCGGAAUUAUUGGGCGUAAAGCGCGCGUAGGCGGUUUCUUAAGUCUGAUGUGAAAGCCCACGGCUCAACCGUGGAGGGUCAUUGGAAACUGGGAAACUUGAGUGCAGAAGAGGAAAGUGGAAUUCCAUGUGUAGCGGUGAAAUGCGCAGAGAUAUGGAGGAACACCAGUGGCGAAGGCGACUUUCUGGUCUGUAACUGACGCUGAUGUGCGAAAGCGUGGGGAUCAAACAGGAUUAGAUACCCUGGUAGUCCACGCCGUAAACGAUGAGUGCUAAGUGUUAGGGGGUUUCCGCCCCUUAGUGCUGCAGCUAACGCAUUAAG